rnacentral:sRNA from 1 species
AUAGAAGAAUUAUUUUUGUCCGGUAUACGAGGGAAGAACAAGAUUUGAUUUUUCACCUGAUAUCGCAAGAAUAGUAAUACAUUGUGUGCUAAGCACAUUAGGAGGCAUUUUUCAUGGAAAAUGGUAAAGUAAAAUGGUUUAACGCAGAAAAAGGUUUUGGAUUCAUCGAAGUAGAAGGUGGAGACGAUGUAUUCGUACACUUCUCAGCGAUCCAAGGUGAAGGUUUCAAAUCACUUGACGAAGGUCAAGAAGUUUCUUUCGACAUCGAACAAGGUGCUCGUGGACCACAAGCAGCUAACGUUGUUAAGAAAUAAUUGAUUUUAAACUUCCAAAACAGGCUCAUCUCUGAUGGGUCUGUUUUU